AUUCUUGACAUGAGCAAAGAAAGAUGAUGUGAGUGCAGGGGCAUGGGUGGAUGGCCCUGCCAAAGCAUGGCCCCUGUGGACAGGACACAGCUCUCCCAGGAUCUGGGGAAGACGCAUAUGGUACAGAUACCUGGACAUACAGAAAAACUGGGAACCAAGGAAUAAAGCCACCUGCUGAAAGAGAUCUGAAUUCUGAGCAGAAAAACCCACCAGGUCCUAUCCCUGUUUCUGCUACCAUCUUCAUCUCUCACCAACCCACGGAUCUCGGAGCUCCCCACGCUUGCACCCUGCCCCAUACCCAUACCCUGCUGCUAGAAUGAAUCACCCGAAGCCCAUCUGAUUCAAAAGCAUCCCAUGCUUCCUGAUUGGCUACAGAUUAAAGCACAGACUUGAAGCAGAAUGUAUUCUCAGGGCUUUCACAGCCACCGACUUGCAAAGAUUUUCUAAAAAGCACACUUACCCCCCACAUUUUCACAUCUCUGGAAUCAGUUUGUGGUUUAACAUCUCGGGCAGCCAUGUGGUGGGAGCGAUAUGGUAGCCACUACCUGAGAACACACAGCAGAACUUGUAGACGGGGUGCCGGCCCCUACGACAACAGUGGAGUGCCCCUUCAAGAAACCCCUCAUUCUCAGAGCUCCUGGGGGCCCAGAGGAGAAUAUUGUACCGAAUGGACGCAUGACUCGGGAUGCUGAAAGUGGCGGGGCUUGAGGCAUUCUCAAACCAGCUUCUCCUGCUUUUUUGUUUUCUUUCCUACUUCUGCAUGAGAAUAACAUAUGAUGUCAAUUCUAAGAGAGC
rnacentral:lncRNA from 1 species